rnacentral:piRNA from 1 species
UUUUAUUUCGACAUGAUUCUC